UACACGAUAAGUUUGACCUCGGAUCAGGUGGGGAUACCCGCUGAACUUAAGCAUAUCAAUAAGCGGAGGAAAAGAAACCAACCGGGAUUGCCUCAGUAACGGCGAGUGAAGCGGCAACAGCCCAAAUUUGAAAUCUGGCCCUCGGGCCCGAGUUGUAAUUGGCAGAGGACGCCUCGGGUCCCACGCCGGUCUAAGUUCCUUGGAACAGGACGUCAUAGAGGGUGAGAGUCCCGUCUGCGACCUGGCGUCGGGCCCGCACGAGGCCCCUUCGACGAGUCGAGUUGUUUGGGAAUGCAGCUCUAAGCGGGUGGUAAAUUCCAUCUAAGGCUAAAUACCGGCCAGAGACCGAUAGCGCACAAGUAGAGUGAUCGAAAGAUGAAAAGCACUUUGGAAAGAGAGUUAAACAGCACGUGAAAUUGUUGAAAGGGAAGCGCUUGCAGUCAGACUCGCCCGCGGCCGAUCAGCCGGUGUUCGCACCGGUGCACUGGGUCGCGGGCGGGCCAGCAUCGGUUUCGGCGGCGGGAGAAAGACCCUGGGAACGUGGCCCCUCUCGGGGGGUGUUAUAGCCCGGGGUGCAAUGCCGCCCGCUGGGACCGAGGCCCGCGCUUCGGCGAGGAUGCUGGCGUA
rnacentral:rRNA from 1 species